GGAGGCCGAUUCAGGGAAGGUAGGUUUAGGCAAGUAACUUUACGACGGAUAUGACGUCAGAAGGAUGAUGCCCGAUUCCAAAGUAAGUCGCAUGUGGAUCUUAAAAAGUUUAAAAGGCCCUGUAAUUGGAAGAUAAUUUAACAGCAAAAUCAACUAAAAGUAAAACGGAGUUGUGUUAUUUUAAUGCACGACAACAACUACGACGGUAAUAUUGAGAUGAAAUGUUUUAGCACGCCUAGUUGUUCAUUAAUUAGAUGAUAAUGUCAAAACGACGUUGACAUUAAUAAUUAAAUUUCGGAUGAAUAUAUGUAUGUUUGUGAAUGGGUAAAUACUGGUCAUUUUUUAAAGGGCUUUGGGCUACGUCAAAGAAGUGCGAAAUGCGCAAAAUAUGUGCAUUCAAUUAAAAAUUGACUGCUCAUUGUGUCAUGUUGAUCAGUUUAAAAUAUUAGAUUUAAAUGCAUCUGUGCUAAUGCAGAAUUUUACGUCACAUUAUUUUCCCUGUACUGUACCUCUAUAUUAAUGUCCUCGUUUCUUUGUGACUUUAAAAAGCACUGGGA